rnacentral:lncRNA from 1 species
UCAUAUCAAACUAGUACUGCCGAAAUUAGCUCAUAAAGAUAUAAACUGUCCAACCUGCUGAGUAUAUUUAAAUGACGAGUCAAUUUGGGCACAUCCCAAGUCAGCGCAUCUAAAGGUUGGGCUGGUCUUGAGGUAUAAAUAUGUAACCCAAAUUGAGCCAUAAUAUCACUUAUCAAAAGACUUCUAAAUUUUUUUUAAUUAGAUAUGUAAGAUAUAGUCAUACUCCCUCAGUUCUAUAUACACUACUAACAACAACAACGACCUAGUAAAAUCCCACAAUUGGGGUCUGGGCAGAGCAGUGUGUACGCACACCUUACCCAUUAUACACUAACAAUAAAAGAAUUUUUGUACUAUCAAGUCACCCAAAAGAAAACUAUAAGUAAUUGUCAAUAAUAAGUAGUACAAAUAAAAAAGACGGAAAACCUGCUACAACAGAAAAAAUAACACAAAUAAUAAUUAUAUAAGAUAAAUCAUUAUUUAAUCUGGUGUGUUUCAUGUGCAGUUCUCUCUGCCGUAAGUGGGAUCAAGCCUCUAGGCCAAGGUAUAGAAAUUAAAAGGAUGCUAAUGAAUUCUUCUUUUUCUCUUAUUCAAUUUCAAUGAUCAAACAACUGAAAAAAAUGGAUAAUGAUCCUUGCAGAAGCGAUUGUGGGUGUUUCCGUUGCAAUACUGGUAGCCCUCUUCUGUUUUCAACGUUUUGGUACAGACAAAGUGGGAUACUCAUUUGCUCCAGCCAUAUGCAUUUGGUUUUGUUUAAUAAGUGGUACCGGUAUGUACAACUUGUUCAAGCAUGAUGUGAGUGUCUUACGUGCCUUUAAUCCCAAAUACAUUUUUAACUACUUCAAAAGAAAUGGUAAAAAAGGAUGGCUUUCUCUUGGUGGAGUUAUCCUCUGCAUUACAGGUUAGAAUUUUAUUUACAGUAUCCGUAUAAUUAAACGGUUAUACCAUGCUACUUCACGUCUGUGUUCUUAUCUGGUGAAAGACUAUUUUAUGAAACUAUUACAGGAUCCGAAGCUAUGUUUGCUGAUUUGGGUCACUUUAGUGUGCGGUCUGUUCAAGUAAGUCUUCUGCAUUUUUUAUUUUCUUCUUUGCCCUAAGUAAUCAAAAAGAUGUACUUCCUCUUCCCUUUUUAUGUGGCACACUUUUCGUUUUAAAUUGUCCUUUAUUAUAUUUGAUAUUUGUUUCUAGUUUUUGGUCAAUCUAAGUGAACUCACCAUGUAUAUAUAUUGCAGAUAAGCUUCAGUUGCUUAGUAUUUCCAUCUAUCCUCUCUGCUUAUAUUGGGCAAGCUGCUUACCUUACAAAAUUCCCAGAAAAUGUGGGGAAUGCUUUUUAUGCCUCUGUUCCAGGCAAGUCUCCUAUAUAUAUGUGGCAAAUUUGUUAACUUUUUCCAUAUUCGUUAUAUAGAUAUUGAGGCCUUUUGGGUUAAAGCCCAAUGGGAAAACACUGUGAGGCACCAAAGAUCGGACCAAAGUGGACAAUAUUUUGGCAGUUGAGCCUGGGUCGUGAAAGAUAAACUAAUCAUAAAAUUAUUUACUUUAUAAAUACCAUGCAUAAUAUUGAUUUUGUUGGUGUUGCUUACAGAUCCACUUUACUGGCCAACAUUUGUAGUGGCUGUUGUUGCGGCCAUUAUUGCAAGUCAAGCAAUGAUAUCUGGAGCUUUUUCUAUUGUGGCUCAGGCCCAAAGUCUAGGUUGUUUCCCAAGGGUGAAGGUAAUUCACACAUCUGCAAAGCACGAGGGUCAGGUUUACAUUCCCGAGUUGAAUUACUUCCUCAUGGUUGCAUGUGUUGUAGUUACUCUCAGCUUCAAAACCACAGGAAAUUUGGGGAAUGCUUAUGGAAUUUGUGUGGUUAGUGCUGAGCUCAUAACCACAAAUAUGGUGACAUUAGUAAUGCUUCUUAUAUGGAAAAUUAGCAUAUGGCGGAUUAUCUUAUUCUACGUGGUGUACGUUACCAUAGAAUCUACAUAUCUAUCCGCUCAGCUGACAAAGUUCGUGCAAGGUGGUUUUCUACCUUUGGCUUUCUCAUUUGUGCUCGUGAUCAUUAUGGGGAUUUGGCACUAUGUUCAAAAACAUAGAUAUGAAUUCGAGCUCAAGAACAAGGUUUCAAGUGACUACAUUACGGACUUAGCCAAAAAUCCAGACAUCAAAAGAGUACCUGGAAUAGGACUACUCUACUCUGAAUUAGUACAGGGGAUUCCACCAAUAUUUCCCCACUUUGUCUCCAAUAUUCCGUCGGUCCAUUCUAUUAUAGUUCUGGUGUCAAUUAAAUCCAUUCCUAUAAACAAAGUAGCGCUGGAGGAACGGUUCUUGUUCAGACAUGUUCAGCCUAGAGAAUACAAGGUGUUCCGAUGUGUAGUUAGGUUAGGGUACAAUGAUCAACUUGGGAAACCAGAGGAAUUUGAAAACCAAUUGGUGGAACAUUUGAAAGAGUUCAUUCGAGAUGAAUACUAUAUUCUUGCAGCACAUGCUGAUCAAGUUGCAGAUAGAGAAAUUGAACCUGCAGUAUCUGGCCAACUAGUGGCUGGAAAUUCAUCCCGGGUCUACACGGAGGAAGAGCUGGAGCAACAAGUAGAUUCUAGAGUUUCAUCAGCUGGUUCGAUUCGAUCAAUGAACACUUCAGCAGCUCAGUCGAAUCAUUCAUCAAAUAGAAUACAAAUGGUCCCACCAAGUUUGGAAGAAGUAGAAGUGAUGCAGUUUGUGGAAAAAGCAAAGGAGCAAGGAGUGUUCUAUCUCCUGGGAGAAGCAGAGGUGGUCACUAAACAAGAUUCUUCAUUCUUGAAGAAAUUUGUUGUCAACUAUGCCUAUAAUUUCUUGCGCAAGAACUUCAGGCAAGGGGAGAAAGUUAUGGCCAUUCCCAGGACUAGGCUGCUAAGGGUCGGCAUGACUUAUGAAUUAUAAUUGUGACGUAUCAGACAGUAAUAAACUUACUACCAAAUACUCUCAUAACAAACAAACAGAGCAAAAGAUCUCUGCAUUUUUCCUAAAACUUUAUUUUUAUCCUUUAAUACUGUGUGCAAGCUUUCAAUUUGAGUUAAUGUACUAUUAAAACCUGUUUGGAAAUGUUUACUCCCUCUAUCCUCUCUAUCCCAUGUUCUAACUUUGUUUGCCCCUAUUAAUAUUGAUGACUUUCUACUAUUAAAAAACACUCCUUAAAUAGCUCUAAUUUGGAAGAAGUCUAGUCUAGUACUUCGGUAUGACCUUCCUAUAUGUAUGUAAUAAGUAUAAUUUCAACAGAUUAAUGAGUAAACGUAGAAAUUCACGCUGAAAACAUAUAUUGACCAAGGUGUUUCGACCUUGAAGUAGAAUGAGAAACAAGAAAAGGAACAAAAUUAGUCUGAUCAGCUUCUCUUCCCGAUAGAGCCUUAUCCCCACCAAUAAGAUUUGAUCAGCAUAUAUAACACUAAAUUUGUAUCUGUCCUGAACCAUUUACAUUCAGCAGAGCAAACAUUGGACUAAAAUCUUGGAGAGUUCAUGCUAAUAGCAUGAAGCACAAUACUACAAUAUUGCAUUUCAUUUUCAAAAAAUAUUUUCUGAACCAUAGAAAACUAGAAGAACAUCAGUAACAAGGUAAUACCUGGAUUUUUGAGCUGUCAAAUAUAAAACCAUUUAGGGCAUAUGUUUUGCCACUGAAAAGUACACAAAAGCAAAUUGACCAUGAGUCCAUGAUUUACCAAACGAACUACACAGAUCUGAACAGAAAAAGAAAGCAUACGAAAGAGAGCAUUAGCAAGUCAAAAUUAACUCCGAAAGAAGCACUUCAUGAAACAUCCCAAAAUAUACUCCAAUUGAUUUAUUACACUUAUUAUCAGGACAAUCAACACAUAGUUCCUUAAUUCCCUAUUACAUUUCAUGAUUACAACAAAUAAAAAAAAAAUUUAAAAAAAGUAGCAUUGUGUAAAGGAAUCAGUACAAAGUUCACCUACAAAAUAAAGAGAAGAAAGCAAACAAUCUCUAACGAGCAAAGUCACAGAGACUUACCGGUAGAACGACGGUUGCGAAAGGAAGGAGAAGCGGAGAGGCAAGUCUAGCCUCUUUCCAGUCACUGAUCAGCAUGGGCGAAGUAGCCGUCGAUCGAGAGAAAAAAUGACAAAGGCUAAUUGGUUUUUAAUUUGGG